rnacentral:misc_RNA from 1 species
UCGUAACAAGGUCUCCGUUGGUGAACCAGCGGAGGGAUCAUUACAGAGUUACUACUCCAAACCCAUUGUGAACCUUACCUAUGUUCUGUUGCCUCGGCGGCGUGGUCAGCGCCCCUCUGAAAAGAGGACGAUGCCCUCCCGCCGGCAGCACCAAACUCUUUGAAUUUUACAGCGGAUUACAGUUCUGAUUUGAAAACAAAAAAACAAGUUAAAACUUUCAACAACGGAUCUCUUGGUUCUGGCAUCGAUGAAGAACGCAGCGAAAUGCGAUAAGUAAUGUGAAUUGCAGAAUUCAGUGAAUCAUCGAAUCUUUGAACGCACAUUGCGCCCGGCAGUAAUCUGCCGGGCAUGCCUGUCCGAGCGUCAUUUCAACCCUCGAACCUCCGUUUCCUCAGGGAAGCUCAGGGUCGGUGUUGGGGCGCUACGGCGAGUCUUCGCGACCCUCCGUAGGCCCUGAAAUACAGUGGCGGUCCCGCCGCGGUUGCCUUCUGCGUAGUAAGUCUCUUUUGCAAGCUCGCAUUGGGUCCCGGCGGAGGCCUGCCGUCAAACCACCUAUAACUCCAGAUGGUUUGACCUCGGAUCAGGUAGGGUUACCCGCUGAACUUAAGCAUAUCAAUAA